GCAUAAUCACAUUGUUCAUAUGGCAAGUACAAUAUUUAGUCUUAUCUCAAAAGUCUUGCUUUGCAUUAUAUCAGCACUAGGAAGAAAAACACUUGAUACAAGUAAUAAUACAUUUACAGCAUACUCUCCAGUUAACAAUGAUGGUAUCUGCAAGACUAUAGUAGAAACACAAGAUUACACAUGUGAAGAACAUAAGCUUCAGUCCAAUAUGUUUACAAAUCUACAGGUCAAAAAAUGCACUACGCAGGUCAUUUUCAGGGGACUCUAAUGGCUUUUGCUGCUCUAUCUCAAGACCAACUUUUGAAUAUGUUGAGAUCAGUUGCAUUACUUAGUCCAAUUGCACAUAUGAAUCAAAUUCCUUCAAGUGCAACAAAACUUGUUGCUGACCUCUUUUUAGCUAAUGAUGUAUACUGGUUAGGCCUCCGUGAAUUCAUUCCUAAUAUGUUGGAAUUGUUGCAUAAAUUCUUCUAUGAUAGAUUUCUAUCUUGAUCAACCAACAACAACAAAGAACUUGAUCCAUCUAUUUCAUAUGAUCAGAAGAGGAUCUAUAGCAAAGUAUGAUUAUGGUAAUACACUACAAAAUAUACAACACUAUGGACAACCAAUUCCUCCAACUUAUGACAUGAAGAAAAUCCCAAAUGAUUUUCCUCUUUUCCUAAAUGACCUCAAAGAUCAUGAUGUGAACAAGCUUGUGGUAUUGUUCAACGAAGAUUAUGCACAUGUUGAUUUUAUUAUGGCUGUAAAUGCUAAACAAGUUGUUUAUGAUCCUAUGAUAGCUUUUUACCACGCUAA